CUCCGCACCGUGACGCUGACGGUGUUCUCCGUGGCGCUGCUGCCAUUUCGUGUGUGUGUGUGUGUGCUGCUGCUGCUGCUGCUGCUGCAUCCCCCACCCCUGCCUGCCUUUCGCCGCUUGUCGAUUUGUUUCGCUCGCUCACUCUUCCUGUGCACGUGUGAAUGCCCUUGGUGCUUCUCUCCCACACCUCUCUAGCUUCACCCCUUCACAAGCACGCACAGGCACACGCACAGACACUGGACAUCAACGGCAUCGCCUGUCCGCUUCAAGACCCCUCCGCGGGCUUUUAUCAUGUCAUCCCACGCGUCCCCCAGACACUCGAAGGAGGACACGCCGGUGCAGCGCUCCUUCGCGGAUGAGGCGGCCGCUGCGGCAGACCUAUUCGACCUCGCCGCCCCACCCUUGCAGCAGCCGCUGGUGGCACGCCUUGUCCCGCUCUACGCCGGGCUUCCCACUCUCGACCUCCAUCAAGAUAGCGGAAACGUGGUCGUCGGCCGCGGCAAGGACAUCUCCGAGGACUACCGCAUCGACGUCAGCGACAAGCUCUCCGCACGCCACUGCGAGCUGGCCGUGCAUCCGGUGACGUUGCGCGUGGAGCUGCGCGACCUGUCGACCAAUGGUACCUUCUUGAACGGCAGGCGCGUCGCAAAGGGGGAGCGAGUCGUGCUGCAGAAUGGUGACCGUGUUGCACUGACGCGACCAGCAGAAAGUGACGCUGGUGGUGGGCAGGCACCAAGCAGCGCCGUGGACGGCAUUGCUGCCAACGGCCGCGUCGACUAUAUGUUUCAGCGACUUAAGCAGGAGACCACGCGAGCCCGCAUGAGCGCGGAGUUGACGUGCUCCGUUUGCAAGUCCAUUUUUCACCGGCCUUGCUCCGUGCUGCCCUGCAUGCACGUCUUCUGUGCCGGGUGCAUCAGCGGCUGGAUGGCACAAGGGGAGCAACAUGCAUGCCCCAAGUGUCGCGUGAGCAUCACCGACGUUCGUCCCACCCAUCGCCUGCAGAGCUGCGCAGAGAACUACCUGCUCGCGAACCCGGCCAGCCGCCGCCCGGCGGAGGAGCUCGCCCAGCUGGACGCCGCCGACAAGAUCCACCCGUUGGGCAUGAGGACUGGGAAGCGCAGUCGCAGCGACAAUAGUGACUGCGACGGCGAUGGCAAGUGCGGAUCUCACAGCGAUGGCGGUAGCGACACCGUCCGUGCUGUGCGUCACGCGGCACUGGUCUUUGGCCACGCAGUGCCCCUCGCCGGCCCAAAGUGCGUCGAGUGCGACACGCCGAGCUCCAUCGACGGCUUUCAAUGCCCGGCAGGUGGCCCCCAUCUUCGCUGCUCGGCCUGUCGCUCCUGCUUCGCCGAGCGCCCGCUGUGUGGCCGGCCGCAGCGCUGCCACGUCUGCCACUUAGCCUUCUGCCACCUCUACAGAGCGGGUGGCUGUGCGUGUACCGACGGGACGUCAUUCCAGCCCUUCAAGGAACACGAACCCUUCAGCGUGCUGCCACCGCAAACCUUUAGCGGCAACACGAUUGAGCAGAACAUCCUCUCCCACUAUCUCGCCUCGCACAGCAUUCUUGUCAAGGACGUGUGGUCGGCAGCGCUGGCGAAGUUUGAGGGCGGAGAGUGGGUCCCCGACAUGGUUUUGAUCAACGGCGCCAUAAGGGCAGACUCACCGGUGUGCCGGCGGUGCGCAGCGACGGUGUUUGCAGGGCUACUCUUCGCCUACCGCCGUCACCUCGCAUCCGAUGAGCUGCCAGAGUCAGUGAAUAAGCGGCCCAACUGCUGGUACGGAAAGGAAUGCCGCGCGCAGUUUCACAACGAGCAGCACGCUCAGAACUACAACCAUGUCUGCUACCAGGAGAAGCGCAAGGAAUAGUGGCCUGAUAGAGUGAGUGGCGAAAGAGCCUGCAUUCGCGUGCGUCUGUUGGUCGGAAGUGGUCUUGCCAGUGAGCGCAUGGUGGGCGCCGAGUUUAGCCUCUGCCCUCCUUUUCUCUUGCUCUCCUCGCGCGCCGUCUUUCUUCCUUUGACAUCCUCAGCGCGCGGGCGCCCCUCCCCUCCUCUUCCGUCUUUCCUUGUCCACGCUGCCCCCCCCUCCUCCCUCGUGAGCAGCAGCCACGAAGCCGACGAGCCACACAACCCUGUCGACGGCGCCGCUUCGCUAACUUCGGCGCCGCGGCGGAUGGAAAAGGAAGACCCGCGAUAACGCAAGGCCGCCCACCAUGACACCCCUCCCCCAACCUACCCACCCACUCAUAUCACGGCGGCGUCGACCCGCCCCCUUCUCCGGCAGACCACUCUAGCGCUCUCUCGCUCCCUCCCUCUGGGAGGGAGGACAGACACUCUUCGCAUACGCCAUCUUCGACUCAUCUCUUCAAAACCUCCAGUAAAAUCAAAAGCACCGCCCACAUUUCAUCCUCCCCCUGUCUCUUCCUCCCUUCACCCACACUCCUUUCGCCUUCCCCUCAUCAUCCUCUCCUCAUCCGCCCCGAUACACCUCCGCACCCCCACCGACUCC
rnacentral:misc_RNA from 1 species